rnacentral:tmRNA from 1 species
GGGGCUGAAUUGGUAUCGACAUUUAAAUUUUAGAGAAGUAUAAAUCGGGUCGAAGCUUGUACUCUUCGUAAAAAUCUACAAAUUUAAAAUAAAUGCUAAUAACAGAAUCAGUUUUAACUUUAAUACAGUAAAUUUAACAAAGAGACAAAAUUUAUUAAAUUUUGCUGUUUAGUACUUAAAAAUUUAUUAUAAAAAUUUUUUCACUAUAUACUAGACUUUUUGUUUAAUAUAGUUUAGAAUAACUUACUAACUGUUCAUUAUUUUGAACUAUGCCUGUGAUAAAUUACUUUAAUAAAAUUUGAAUGGACGUGGGUUCAAUUCCCAUCAGUUCCA